ACGAACGCUGGCGGCACGCUUAACACAUGCAAGUCGAACGAGAGAAGAGAAGCUUGCUUUUCUGAUCUAGUGGCGGACGGGUGAGUAACACGUGAGCAAUCUGCCUUUCAGAGGGGGAUACCGAUUGGAAACGAUCGUUAAUACCGCAUAACAUAAUUGAACCGCAUGAUUUGAUUAUCAAAGAUUUAUCGCUGAAAGAUGAGCUCGCGUCUGAUUAGCUAGUUGGUAAGGUAACGGCUUACCAAGGCGACGAUCAGUAGCCGGACUGAGAGGUUGAUCGGCCACAUUGGGACUGAGACACGGCCCAGACUCCUACGGGAGGCAGCAGUGGGGAAUAUUGCACAAUGGAGGAAACUCUGAUGCAGCGAUGCCGCGUGAGGGAAGAAGGUUUUAGGAUUGUAAACCUCUGUCUUCAGGGACGAAAAAAGACGGUACCUGAGGAGGAAGCUCCGGCUAACUACGUGCCAGCAGCCGCGGUAAUACGUAGGGAGCGAGCGUUGUCCGGAAUUACUGGGUGUAAAGGGAGCGUAGGCGGGAUCGCAAGUCAGAUGUGAAAACUAUGGGCUUAACCCAUAAACUGCAUUUGAAACUGUGGUUCUUGAGUGAAGUAGAGGUAAGCGGAAUUCCUAGUGUAGCGGUGAAAUGCGUAGAUAUUAGGAGGAACAUCAGUGGCGAAGGCGGCUUACUGGGCUUUAACUGACGCUGAGGCUCGAAAGCGUGGGGAGCAAACAGGAUUAGAUACCCUGGUAGUCCACGCCGUAAACGAUGAUUACUAGGUGUGGGGGGACUGACCCCUUCCGUGCCGCAGCAAACGCAAUAAGUAAUCCACCUGGGGAGUACGACCGCAAGGUUGAAACUCAAAGGAAUUGACGGGGGCCCGCACAAGCAGUGGAGUAUGUGGUUUAAUUCGAAGCAACGCGAAGAACCUUACCAGGUCUUGACAUCGUAUGCAUAGCUCAGAGAUGAGUGAAAUCUCUUCGGAGACAUAUAGACAGGUGGUGCAUGGUUGUCGUCAGCUCGUGUCGUGAGAUGUUGGGUUAAGUCCCGCAACGAGCGCAACCCUUACUGUUAGUUGCUACGCAAGAGCACUCUAGCAGGACUGCCGUUGACAAAACGGAGGAAGGUGGGGAUGACGUCAAAUCAUCAUGCCCCUUAUGACCUGGGCCUCACACGUACUACAAUGGCUGUCAACAGAGGGAUGCAAAGCCGCGAGGUGGAGCGAACCCCUAAAAGCAGUCUUAGUUCGGAUUGUAGGCUGCAACCCGCCUACAUGAAGUCGGAAUUGCUAGUAAUCGCAGAUCAGCAUGCUGCGGUGAAUACGUUCCCGGGCCUUGUACACACCGCCCGUCACGCCAUGGGAGUCGGUAACACCCGAAGCCUGUAGUCUAACCGCAAGGAGGACGCAGUCGAAGGUGGGAUUGAUGACUGGGGUG
rnacentral:rRNA from 1 species